UGGGGAAUUGUUCGCAAUGGGCGCAAGCCUGACCCAGCAACGCCGCGUGAAGGAUGAAGUAUUUCGGUAUGUAAACUUCGAAAGAAUAGGAAGAAUAAAUGACGGUACUAUUUAUAAGGUCCGGCUAACUACGUGCCAGCAGCCGCGGUAAUACGUAGGGACCAAGCGUUGUUCGGAUUUACUGGGCGUAAAGGGCGCGUAGGCGGCAAUUCAAGUCAUCUGUGAAAUCUCCGGGCUUAACUCGGAACGGUCAGAUGAUACUGCUUUGCUAGAGUGCAGAAGGGGCAAUCGGAAUUCUUGGUGUAGCGGUGAAAUGCGUAGAUAUCAAGAGGAACACCUGAGGUGAAGACAGGUUGCUGGGCUGACACUGACGCUGAGGCGCGAAAGCCAGGGGAGCAAACGGGAUUAGAUACCCUGGUAGUCCCUGAGCGGGCUGGCAAGGCGCAU
rnacentral:rRNA from 1 species